rnacentral:rRNA from 1 species
GAUUGAACGCUGGCGGCAGGCCUAACCCAUGCAAGUCGAAUGGUAACCGGAAACAGCUUGCUGUUUCGCUGACGAGUGGCGGACGGGUGAGUAAUGUCUGGGAAACUGCCUGAUGGAGGGGGAUAACUACUGGAAACGGUAGCUAAUACCGCAUAACGUCGCAAGACCAAAGAGGGGGACCUUCGGGCCUCUUGCCAUCAGAUGUGCCCAGAUGGGAUUAGCUAGUAGGUGGGGUAACGGCUCACCUAGGCGACGAUCCCUAGCUGGUCUGAGAGGAUGACCAGCCACACUGGAACUGAGACACGGUCCAGACUCCUACGGGAGGCAGCAGUGGGGAAUAUUGCACAAUGGGCGCAAGCCUGAUGCAGCCAUGCCGCGUGUAUGAAGAAGGCCUUCGGGUUGUAAAGUACUUUCAGCGGGGAGGAAGGGAGUAAAGUUAAUACCUUGGCUCAUUGACGUUACCCGCAGAAGAAGCACCGGCUAACUCCGUG